rnacentral:rRNA from 2 species
AACUUCUGAAUGUUGACCUCGGAUCAGGUAGGAAUACCCGCUGAACUUAAGCAUAUCAAUAAGCGGAGGAAAAGAAACCAACAGGGAUUGCCCUAGUAACGGCGAGUGAAGCGGCAACAGCUCAAAUUUGAAAUCUGGCUUUCGGGCCCGAGUUGUAAUUUGUAGAGGAUACUUUUGAUGCGGUGCCUUCCGAGUUCCCUGGAACGGGACGCCAUAGAGGGUGAGAGCCCCGUCUGGUUGGAUGCCAAAUCUCUGUAAAGUUCCUUCGACGAGUCGAGUAGUUUGGGAAUGCUGCUCUAAAUGGGAGGUAUAUGUCUUCUAAAGCUAAAUAUUGGCCAGAGACCGAUAGCGCACAAGUAGAGUGAUCGAAAGAUGAAAAGCACUUUGAAAAGAGAGUUAAAAAGUACGUGAAAUUGUUGAAAGGGAAGCGUUUAUGACCAGACUUGGACUUGGUUAAUCAUCUGGGGUUCUCCCCAGUGCACUUUUCCAGUUCAGGCCAGCAUCAGUUUUCGCCGGGGGAUAAAGGCUUCGGGAAUGUAGCUCUCUUCGGGGAGUGUUAUAGCCCGUUGUGUAAUACCCUGGCGGAGACUGAGGUUCGCGC